ACGUGGGUAAUCUGCCCUGGAGUCCGGAAUAACUCGCCGAAAGGCGUGCUAAUGCCGGAUGAGACCACGGGAGCCUCGGCUCCUGCGGGAAAAGGUGGCCUCUGUAUACAAGCUAUCGCUCUAGGAUGAGCCCGCGGCCCAUCAGCUCGUUGGCGGGGUAAUGGCCCACCAAGGCUACGACGGGUAGCUGGUCUGAGAGGACGAUCAGCCACACUGGAACUGAGACACGGUCCAGACUCCUACGGGAGGCAGCAGUGGGGAAUCUUGCGCAAUGGGCGAAAGCCUGACGCAGCAACGCCGCGUGUGUGAUGAAGGUCUUCGGAUCGUAAAGCACUGUCGCGAGGGACGAAUAAGGGGCGGGCUAACAUCCCGUUCCGAUGACGGUACCUCGAAAGGAAGCACCGGCUAACUCUGUGCCAGCAGCCGCGGUAAUACAGAGGGUGCAAGCGUUGUUCGGAAUUAUUGGGCGUAAAGCGCGUGUAGGCGGCCUAGCAUGUCGGGUGUGAAAGCCCUCGGCUUAACCGAGGAAGUGCGCCCGAAACUACUAGGCUUGAGUACCGGAGAGGGUGGCGGAAUUCCCGGUGUAGAGGUGAAAUUCGUAGAUAUCGGGAGGAACACCAGCGGCGAAGGCGGCCACCUGGACGGAUACUGACGCUGAGACGCGAAAGCGUGGGGAGCAAACAGGAUUAGAUACCCUGGUAGUCCA
rnacentral:rRNA from 1 species